AUGGGCUCUAUAGUUUCAGUGUUAACGCUACCGGAAGUGAAGCUCCACCAAACCGGAAGAAAUGCCCCCUGCCACAUGAAGUGAUACCCAAUCAAAAGUGCCCGACAGCCGCGUCUCCGACCCCCACCCCCUCCCUGCUCCCGAGCAUUUCUGGAUGUUUCUAUCUCAUUGAUGUCCCAAUGGUUUUAUGGCAGGACUGCAGGAUUAGAAAGAAAGUGCCUGACAGCCGCUUUUCCGACCCCACCCCCUCCCGGCUCCCGAGCGUUU